UUUGUUACUUUAGCCUGUUAUCACUUCCUCUCCGCCUCCUUUGACUACAACAUUACUUCCUCUUCACCUCCUUUUUUUCUCUUAUCUCGAUCAUUCUCUCUGGAUGCUUCGCACUGCCAUACUAUUCUACCUUCUUCCGAUCACAUGUUGCUCACUUCUUUUUCCAUCUGCUUCAUUGCAGGUUGAUUCAUCUCUCUUUUUCCUACCACUGCUCCUUCUACAUCCAACCCAUCAAACCUUAAAUCGGCUCUUUCACUGAUGUAGUGAUCAGUCAUGCUAAUUUCUUUCUUUUUACCAUUUCAAAUAUGUUAGGCUGAUAAGAGGACAAAGCUUGAGGUCGAGGUCGUGGCAACCGUGUUUGGAAUCGAGUUGUUUGCCAACAUCAACGAAGGAGAUGUGGUGGCCUAGAGGUUGCUCGAUUUUGUUCCCACUCUAAAAGAGGGGGUUUGCUUCGUUAGCAUUUCAGACAAACCUACACCACCAGAGCACUCAUUGGAACCCCACAUAGUUUAUGAUUUUAGGUUCUUCCAGCAAAAUCAAGUCACAUUUUGUAGAGUGAUUUAGAGACUUUGGAGCAGAAGAAAGCAGAUAAGAGAAUGUUGAAAUUCGUUGAUUAUUAUAAGGUGUGGGCACUUUAAAAAGCUUGCUUCUGAAUAUGAAAAGCUUGGUAUAAGCUUCAAAAAAUUGAAAUAUGUUUUGAUCGGAAAGGUAAACAUUUGUCAUUCUUACAUAUGUUUGUAAGAUAAGUUUUCAUAAUUGCUCAAAUGUUCCAUACAUCGAAUGCUAUAAGGCCCAGGAGUGCCAAUUUGUGUUCAAACAUGGUAAGUUUAUAAACCUAUUGUAUUUUAAGGCAUGUUUUUUGAUACUUUUAUUUUAUUCUUUCUUUUACCUAUUUAUCAAAUAUUUUGUCCUGAUUACUUAAUCUAGAUAAUGCCUCUUUAAACAAAUUAUUGUUCCAUGUUCCAGUUUUAUUAAUUUUCAAUAGUUUGAAAUCUCAUUUUAUAAUUAUUAAUGGUGUAUGUAUCUUUCUGAUGGACAAAUUCAUUUUCUUUUUUUCUCUUUCAACAUCAAGAACAGAUAUUUAUAUGUCAUAUGAAUUUCAUUAUGAAGAUAUGGUUUCCAGUGAGUUAUAUUUUUUUGUUUUUGGUUUUCUUAAAGAUUUGCUUUUAUAAAAUUUGGUCAUUUAUGUUAUGAAUCUCCAUGGGUUGACUUUUGACACGUAAUAUACCCAAUUUGUUUGGAAAUGUAAUUACUAUGCAUAUCUCUUUUAUUUAAAUGAAAGAAACCUAUGAUUAUUCUCAUUAUUUUCUGUUUGCAGUGGUGGCUACAAUAUCAAGAGAUGACCAAUAUGCUCACCCUAUCAUCAUUUUUAUAAAAAAUCAACCUAUAAUCAACUACUUGUAAUCAGUUUUUUUCGGAAAACAAUGCAAUUUCAAUCAAUAAAUAUAUUUCAAAAAUUAAUUAGGGUUGUAUAAAUGGUAAAAUGGAAAGAGAGCUUAAAGCAAACUACAAAAUCUAAAUUUCUUUUGGUCUCAACCUUAGAACGGCACAUCA